AUGCGACUCAAUAGGGGAAAGUUCAUCGAUGCCGAAAUAGGGGGGGUCAUCCUCUGCUGCUACCUGUUCCCCUCCUCCUGUUGUUCUAGUUUUUCAGAUCCUUGUGGUUCCUCUGUUUGUUCAUAUUGCCUUAGCCCAUUCCAACAUGUUGCUCUUUCAAACUUCAUUGUCACGUGCCUCCACAUCAUGACCAGAGCCAUCAUUCAUCAUCAUCUGUCGUCACAUCUUCCUCCUCUGGCACCAACUCAUCAUGACCUUAUUAUAGGAUCCAGUUAUGUAGAAUGCAACAUGCAAGAACAAACCUAA
rnacentral:rRNA from 1 species